AAAUAAUCCAGCUGCAGGUUCCCCUACAGCUACCUUGUUACGACUUCACACCAUUUACUAAUCUUAUAUUCGGCUUUCUUUUUAGAAAAAAAUCAUACGUCUCUCAUCAAGAUUGAAAAAGAUUAAAAAAAAAAAAGAGAAGACUUCCUACACUAUCAAUUCACAGUGUGUGACGGGCGGUGAGUACAAGGCUCAGGUACAAAUUCACCGUAGCGUGCUGAUCUACGAUUACUAGUGAUUCCGGCUUCAUGUUCUCGAGUUGCAGAGAACAAUCUGAACUAAGGUGAGUUUUUUGAGAUUUGCUCCGACUCUCAUCAUUGCUUCUCUUUGUCCUCACCAUUGUAACACGUGUGUAGCCCAGCCCAUAAGGGUCAUGAGGACUUGACGUGAUCCCUCCCUUCCUCUAGUCUAUCACCAGCUGUAUUUCCAUUUAAAAACUCAAAAAAAUUGAAUUUUUGAAUGAAAAGAGGGGUUUCGUUCGUUAAGGAAAUUAAUCCAACAUUUCACAACACGAACUGACGACAGCCAUGCAACACCUGUAAUCUUUACUCAAAUAAAUUUUUAUUUGGUUAUCUCAGGAUAACCUGAGAUUGUCAAAAGAUUAUGUCAAGGACUGGUAAGGUUUUGCGCGUUGUUUCGAAUUAAACCACAUGUUCCACCACUUGUGUGAGCCCCCGUCUAUUCCUUUGAGUUUUAGUCUUGCGACCGUACUCCUCAGGCGGACCUUUUUACGCGUUAGCUAAUACAAACGGUAAAACGAUCCACGCAAAUGAGUAAUUUCUUACUCAAGCACUUCCCUUUUUUUAUCUCUUUUUUUUUGCAAAAGAAAAGACCAAAAAGGACCAACCAGAGUUCUUUUACUUAGAGUAAAAGAAAAUGGUGUCUUUUUUUGACAAAAAAGAAUCGUGUUGCUUUGUGGAAAGUCUACUAUUUAUAGAAAGGUCAUCGUUGACGGCGUGGACUACAGGGGUAUCUAAUCCCUUUUGAUCCCCACGCUGUCGCACCUCAACGUCAGUGAAGCCCCAGAGAAUUGCCUUCGCUUUUGGUGUUCCUCCUGAUAUCAACAAAUUUUACCUCUACGCCAGGAAUUCCAUUCUCCUCUAGCUCACUCGAGUUUAGGAAUCAUUAAGAUAAGUUUCAAAGUAAAGCUUUGAGUUUUUUAUCCCUGAUUUUCUAAACAGCCUACGUGCGCUUUACGCCCAAUCAUUCCGAAUAACGCUCGCCCCUCUCGUAUUACCGCGGCUGCUGGCACGAAAUUGGCCGGGACUUUUUUCUUAAACUUUGUCAUAAUCUCUGUUUAAGUAAAGGGCUUUACAACCAAGACAGUCUUCAUCACCCACGCGAUCUAGCUGGAUCAGGCUUUCGCCCAUUGUCCAAGAUUCCUCACUGCUGCCGCUCGGAAGCGUCUGGGCCGUGUCUCAGUCCCAGUGUGGCUGAUCAUCCUCUCAGACCAGCUAAGGAUCUUCGGCUUGGUAAGCUUUUACCCUACCAACUACCUAAUCCUACGCAAGCUCAUCUCACAACGUCUUUUGACUUUAUUUAACAGAGUUAAAUUAUCCAAGAUUCAGAUAAAUCUUUGCUUGGUUUGUGAGGUAGAUUCUUACGCGUUACUCACCCGUUCGCUACUCUAAGUACCCGACUUAGCGUUCAACUUGCAUGUGUUAAGCUUAUCGCUAGCGUUCAUUCUGAGCCAGGAUCAAACUCA
rnacentral:rRNA from 1 species